GGAGGAGGAUGGCGUCACAGUAUAAAAGGCGCUGCGCCGUAUAAUCGAGCUGGAAGUUGUUUUUCAAUCGUUCGGGAAGAAUCUGGGUGGUGGCGCGCGCACACACACCCACUCGGCAACGCAAACCCUCUUGCACUCUCAUCCCGAAUACCCCACCCAUUCAUGUGAACUGGUCUGGACCUGAAAGCUGCACGAUGUUUCAGUGUAAGAGGCUGAAGGCCUGGGGCGGCCUGUGCCCCGCGCUGCUGUUACUGCGGUGAAGCGAUCCAAACACUUGCUUGUGUGUUACCCCCGGAGUGGCCAGUGGUCAAACCGCUCUGAUGGCUUCGAAUGAACAUAACGUUCCUGCUAUCGAGCAUCCUUCGAGCUUACUGGGAAAGCUGUCCCUACCCAUUGGGAUGCACCGUAGGGCAUUCAGUUAUGAUGACGCCUUGGAAGAUUUAUCGCCAAUGACACCCCCUCCUCCUGAUAUGGGAAGCAAUAUAUUGUGGAAACAGCCUGUUAUUCCAGAGCGGAAAUAUCAACAAUUAUCUAUGUCAAUGUAUUGGAAGCAGGGUGGCUGGCAGGACUUGGCAGUAUUUACUCAGUAAACAAGAGCAAGCAAAGUUUGUUUAAAAGCAAUUUCUACUGACUAGCAGCAAUUGGAACAUAACUUCUCCCAAUAAAAUCAGGGUGAGUUCUCC